rnacentral:rRNA from 1 species
CAGUCGCCACGGGAAUACGUAGGGUGCGAGCGUUAAUCGGAAUUACUGGGCGUAAAGCGUGCGCAGGCGGUUGUGUAAGACAGGUGUGGAAUCCCCGGGCUUAACCUGGGAACUGCGCUUGUGACUGCACAGCUAGAGUAUGGCAGAGGGGGGUGGAAUUCCACGUGUAGCAGUGAAAUGCGUAGAGAUGUGGAGGAACACCGAUGGUGAAGGCAGCCCCCUGGGCCAAUACUGACGCUCAUGCACGAAAGCGUGGGGAGCAAACAGGAUUAGAUACCCCCGUAGUCCCUGUCUCUUAUAA